rnacentral:rRNA from 1 species
AUGAUAAUUGUGAAGCAUAUAAAGGAUGGCAAAUACUCAGUAUCAUCAGAUUUUCAUGAAGAACACACCCAUGAUUUUGUCACACCUAGGAAGCAACAUUUAAUCAAGUCUAACCAAAAAGUCAGUGAGAAGGCCAAGGGCACACUAUUCACAUGUCACGCAGCUAGCAUUGGUACAUCUGGGGCGUUUCGGUUGCUCCGUGUUGGUGAGGGUGGAUUUGAGUUCAUGGGGUGCACAAAAAGAGACUUGCAGAAUUAUCAUCGUGACAUGAGAAGUACUUUCAAGGAUUCAGAUGCUCAAAUGUUCAUUGACAACCUCAGGAAGAGGAAGAAAAUCAACCCGGGGUUCUUCUUUGAGUAUGUCUUGAUGAUAAAAACUGUCUGA